AAGUAGAGUGGGCAGGGGCUGUGCCCUUUGGGAAGGGAGAAGCCCCGCAUAUGCCCCUCCCCCAGCCAUAACUGGGAAUCACCUCUCUCUCUUUGCACAGGUCGAGGGAUAGCAGAAUAGCAGAGAUCAUCUGCCCUAGCUCCCUCUAGCCAGGAGCCUUACUCUGGGGUUCUCCCUGGGGAUUCAGACAGCAGCAGAGGUCUAGGCAGCAGGCAGCACUCUGUGCUGGCACAAUCCUCUCUUUCCUCUGAGCCAAGAAGAAAGAAAAAUACAUAAAUGGGCCUUGAUGGAAGAAGAGUCAACUGUCCACUGCUGCUCCCUGCAGACACAUAAGUUACAGCUUAAAAGACCUGAUCAGUCUGGAAAUCUGGAUGGCUGAGCCCAGGACUGAAUGGCAUUCCGAUCUGUCCUCGCUUUGCAGUGAUCCUACAGGCAGUUUGGAGGAAGAGGAGGAUACUCUCCAUUGACCUGAUGAUGGCUGAAAACAUCUAAGAAACAAAGACAAAGGGGAGGAAAGGACUGAAUUCAGGCUGGAAAAGGUGUCUGGCCUGUAAGAGAAAUACCUGGAGUUUUAAGCUGCAAGAGAGAGCAGUUUGCUUUCACGAAUCUCUGCAAUCUGCCUAAAACAAGAUUUACGAAGCAAUUAAGAUCCUUUAUGGAGUAACACAGCUUAGACAACAGAAGCCACCACUCAAGAUUGCCAGACUGAGAAGAAGCUAAGCUAUGGAAGCUGGGGGGUUUCUCUGAAGACUGGUUGUAAAUUCAGUGGAUGGGGCAUUGAUUGAUUAAAGCUGUGUGUUUGUAACCAGAAAGCAUGAGAAAGCCAGAAAUACAGUCUUGAGCAUGGCCCUGAGAGGGAGAAGAGAUAGAGCUCCUUGAGGCCCAGGACUGGCCAGAAAGCAGGCUUGAAAAUUGCAAGCAAGGAAUUUGUCCUGCUGUUGUUUGUUCCUGCUGUGUUCAUGGAAACGGGACUUUGUACAUUCUUUGUAAACAAACAGGAUUGCAUCAAAGAAAUCCCUGACUUGUAUCAUCCAUUUCUCCACCUAAUGGAAGAAUCCCAUCAUGGCCCAGAAUAAUGGCUAAUGUUUUUGAGCCAAAAGGCGCAAAAAUACUCUCUUUAAUAAAUCACUUUGAGACCUAUGGAUGAAAAGUUCUAAGUAUCAUUUAGCAAUAGCAGAACUUCCUCUAAACUGACAUCACAGCAAUAACAAAGACUGCCUAGACUGGCAAGAUUCUCUUUUUUACACAGUAUUUCAGUGUCCCAGGAUUCCUUGUGCUGACUAAAACAAUAAUCUGCUGGAUGAAAGAUUCACUACAGGUAACUGGAGGGCAUGUCUUUCACCAUUUUUCAUCAUGGACAGAAUCACCAGGUAGCAGUCUGGCCAAGCUGAAUACGGACAACAUGAUUAUGAGUGGCAGCCUUCAAGACACACAUGGUGCAACCAGUAUUGUUUAUUCCACAGCACACCCUAAUCAAGCAACAUUACUAACAGGCUUAUUAUCAUGGAAAUUGUGAGCUGAAAUAUUGAUUUCAGACCUGGUCUUAUCUGAAUCUGUUUGCCUUGUCCAUAAUUUACUGAUGGACCAAAAUGAAGAGUUGGUAAUAUUGUAACAAACCAGAGCUGAACAAAGGGUUAUAAUUAAUUAUUCUGCAUUAUUUAGGUGGGAACAGUCGUAUUUACCAGCUUGUCUACCCCUGAUCUUGACGGAAGGAGAGGGCACAGGACUGGGACAAAGAAAGGGUUUGGAGUGAGAGUGUGUGUAACCUAGAGAAAAAAGCAGAGUAGACAGACUUUGUUGCCCUUGUUGAAGUAAUAGGGGAGGGAAGACAAUUGGUUUGGUAGUUUAGGAAGAGAUUUGGGAGUUUUUCCAAGAUUUUUACCUUAGAAAGCAGGCUUGCCCUCUACAUCUAGUAUUGAUUAUAUAAGCCUGGAGGUGGCUGUUUGCACCCUUUCUUACAGAACCUGCACCUGGGAGAUGCAGGUAUUCACCCAGAUAGGAAUGGGACUAUAAAAAUAAGUCAUAGGAGGUUGCUCAUAGAACCCAAUUAAGGAAAGCUCUGCACAGAGUGAGAGUUACUAGAGAAACCCCAACUGAGAAACUGUUAGACUUCUCAGUAGUACACCAAGAUUUUCAGAAAUAAAUGCCUAGGUUGAAUAGAUACUGGAAUAUAUUCUCAUUAUAUCAGUAUAAAUACAAGACUCUGUUUGAUCUGCUUAUACCAGUUUUUCCUGACUCUCUUUCUAAGCCUUUUUAAGAGUUGUUACCAGUUUUCCUAUUGUUGUCUUUUUCCAGGAUGCAGAUAUUAAAGCUCCAGUUAUGUUUCAGCACUGUGUUGAGCAAGAUUUGCUACGGGACCAUGGACUAAGAAGAAUAAAAUUCCCACCAGCAGCACCAGUUCAGCCUUAAUCAUUACUUGUAUUAUGCUAAUGCUAAGAGCCUCCUACCAAAAGUCGGGCUGUACUGUCCUAAGCAGAGUACAAACAGAGUAAGAUAGAGUCACUGACCUGAAGAGCUUACAUUGUAAAUAAACCACACUAGUAGGAGUUGUAGUGUAGACACAACUCUGAUGGAGUCUGAUUUUUUCCACUGUGCCUAUUAAAACAGCAGUGUUAACUGACAUGGUGGUAAAAAUGCUAGAAGUUUACAAGUUCUUUGCUGCAGCCAGGGUUCUGUAUCUCUUUCCACACCGGGAAAUUAUAGCCCUGGUCCGAAAGCAUUUUCAGCUACACUGAAAGUGUUCUUGACAGCAUGGCUGUGCCAGCGACCAUGGGUAGGACACAAUUUAUUUUUUUUAAAUGUCAUGAGAAUGUUGUUUCCCCCAAUCACUAUUUUAUAAAGGUUUACCCUGCCCAUCCUGGCCAGCAAAGCAGUGCUGAAGAUGGUUCAGAACACAGUCCAUUUCCCAGACAGAUGGAGUUGCACCUGCUUGCUUUCCAAAUGCAGAUGAUGAAAAGGUUUCUGAGGGUAACUGGGGUCCAACUGAAUGUGUGGGUGUCAAAGCGAGCAUGAGUUGACUGCCUGGCUUUAAAGAGCAGUUUUGGGUAUGUCUGCACUUAGAAACCCUGUGAGGUGGGAAGGUCCCAAAGCUCAGGCUGCAUCCCAAGCCCAAACAUCUACACUGUAAUUAAACAGGCCCUUAGCGUUAGCCCCACAAGCCCAAGUCACCUGGCAUGGGCCAACUGUGGGUGUUUAACUGCAGGUCAGACGACUUAUCAUCCCAUAACACUAUCUCACUUCUCAUCCUAGUCAUUGGGAUGUUUGCAAAAAAGACACAGAAGGUCAGGACGACAGAUGACAGGAGCUUGCUUGUUUCUGGUUCAUCACCCAGAAUGAUUUGGCCAGUCAUCCUUUUGCUCCUGGCUUGGAACUCCUCUAGCACAGCCAUUUCCUUCAAGCACACGAACAGAGCAGGCCCCGUCAUAAAAGCCCAGCUGCUAUGCAACUGCUCACAAUUGCAGGAAAUCAACAGAACCAAA